CUUUGUGGAUUGCCGGUCAGCUGAAAUAUAUUCGCGCUUCUGGAGCUCCUUUCCUCUUGAGGAAAGGCGUGGUUCCGAUUUGGUAGGUGACCUUUGCCGGUUGCAUGCCUUCGUUGCCCGCUAUGCUGCCAGACUAGCGCUGUGCAGGACGCCUUUUGGCUUUCGACCUGAGGUCAGGCAAGAACACCCGCUGAACUUAA
rnacentral:misc_RNA from 1 species